GGUUAACAUUUAUUAAGCUCUUUUUAUGUACAGGCACUAUUGUAGCCAUUUAAAACGUAUCCACUCACUUACUACUCAUCAGUGAAAUGAGGUGCACAUACUUUAUCUCCAUUUGCAGAUGAGGAAACUGAGGUCACACAUCCAAAUUGCUGACUGGGAUUCAAAGUCAGGAAGUCAAAGCCUGUGAUCUGAUCUUAGAACCCUUUCCUGUCCCAGAGCUAAAAAAUAAUUAUAAUAGAAGAUCCCAUGGUGGUUGGACAUCAGAAAUAUAGAUUUCUAAUGCAGAUUCGUUGUAAUGCCAACGAGGUUCCUUCCUAAUUUAGAAGGCUUAACAAGUACAGGACGGACAUGGUGGCUCAUGCCUAUAAUCUCAGCAAUUAGGGAGGAUUGCUUGAGACCAGGAGUUCAAGACCAACCUGGGCAACACAGUGAGACCCUGUCUCUAAAAAAAGAAAAUAAAUAAAUAAAAAAUAAAAUAUUAACUGGGUGUGUUGGUGCGUGCCUGUAGUCCCAGCUACUCAGGAGGUUGAGGCAGGAGGAUCACUUGAGCCCAGGAGUUCAAGGCUGCAGUGAGCUAUGAUUGUGCCACUGCACUCCAGCCUGGGCAACAGAGCAAGACCUGUUUCAAAACAAGUGGCCCCAAGUGUUCAUGCCACUUCCCACCUCCCUCAGGCUCCUGAAGCACUGACAGAGUAAUAAAAACUUCUGUCAACCAGCCUUUCAGCUGAAGAUCUGAGUGGAC
rnacentral:lncRNA from 1 species